CAGCAGGCGCGAAAACUUUACAAUGCGGGAAACCGUGAUAAGGGGACACCGAGUGCCAGCAUCAUAUGUGGCUGUCCAGAUGUGUAAAAUACAUCUGUUAGCAAGGGCCGGGCAAGACCGGUGCCAGCGCCGCGGUAACACCGCGGCCCGAGUGGUGAUCGUGAUUAUUGGGUCUAAAGGGUCGUAGCCGGUUUGGUCAGUCCUCCGGGAAAUCUGAUGGCUCAACCAUUAGGCUUUCGGGGGAUACGCCAGGCUUGGAACCGGGAGAGGUAAGAGUACUACAGGGGUAGGAGUGAAAUCUUGUAUCCCUGUGAGACCACCUGUGGCGAAGGCGUCUUACCAGAACGGGUUCGACGGUGAGGGACGAAACUGGGGGCACGACCGGAUUAGAUACCCGGGUAGUCCCAGCCGUAAACGAUGCUCGCUAGGUGUCAGGCAGGCGCGACCGUGUCUGGUGCCGCAGGGAAGCCGUGAAGCGAGCCACCUGGGAAGUACGGCCGCAAGGCUGAAACUUAAAGGAAUUGGCGGGGGAGCACAACAACGGGUGGAGCCUGCGGUUUAAUUGGACUCAACGCCGGACAACUCACCGGGGACGACAGCAAUAUGUAGGCCAGGCUGAAGACCUUGCCUGAACGCUGAGAGGAGGUGCAUGGCCGUCGCCAGUUCGUACUGUGAAGCAUCCUGUUAAGUCAGGCAACGAGCGAGACCCGUGCCCACUGUUACCAGCAUGUCCUCCGGGA
rnacentral:rRNA from 1 species